rnacentral:rRNA from 1 species
ACAGGCUUAACACAUGCAAGUCGAGGGGCAGCACAGGUAGCAAUACCGGGUGGCGACCGGCGCACGGGUGAGUAACGCGUAUGCAACUUACCUAUCAGAGGGGGAUAACCCGGCGAAAGUCGGACUAAUACCGCAUGAAGCAGGGGCCCCGCAUGGGGAUAUUUGCUAAAGAUUCAUCGCUGAUAGAUAGGCAUGCGUUCCAUUAGGCAGUUGGCGGGGUAACGGCCCACCAAACCGACGAUGGAUAGGGGUUCUGAGAGGAAGGUCCCCCACAUUGGUACUGAGACACGGACCAAACUCCUACGGGAGGCAGCAGUGAGGAAUAUUGGUCAAUGGCCGAGAGGCUGAACCAGCCAAGUCGCGUGAGAGAUGAAGGUUCUAUGGAUCGUAAACCUCUUUUAUAAGGGAAUAAAGUGCGGGACGUGUCCCGUUUUGUAUGUACCUUAUGAAUAAGGAUCGGCUAACUCCGUGCCAGCAGCCGCGGUAAUACGGAGGAUCCGAGCGUUAUCCGGAUUUAUUGGGUUUAAAGGGUGUGUAGGCGGCCUUUUAAGUCAGCGGUGAAAGUCUGUGGCUCAACCAUAGAAUUGCCGUUGAAACUGGGGGGCUUGAGUAUGUUUGAGGCAGGCGGAAUGCGUGGUGUAGCGGUGAAAUGCAUAGAUAUCACGCAGAACCCCGAUUGCGAAGGCAGCCUGCCAAGCCAUGACUGACGCUGAUGCACGAAAGCGUGGGGAUCAAACAGGAUUAGAUACCCUGGUAGUCCACGCAGUAAACGAUGAUCACUAGCUGUUUGCGAUACACUGUAAGCGGCACAGCGAAAGCGUUAAGUGAUCCACCUGGGGAGUACGCCGGCAACGGUGAAACUCAAAGGAAUUGACGGGGGCCCGCACAAGCGGAGGAACAUGUGGUUUAAUUCGAUGAUACGCGAGGAACCUUACCCGGGUUUGAACGCAUUCGGACCGAGGUGGAAACACCUUUUCUAGCAAUAGCCGUUUGCGAGGUGCUGCAUGGUUGUCGUCAGCUCGUGCCGUGAGGUGUCGGCUUAAGUGCCAUAACGAGCGCAACCCUUGCCACUAGUUACUAACAGGUGAUGCUGAGGACUCUGGUGGGACUGCCAGCGUAAGCUGCGAGGAAGGCGGGGAUGACGUCAAAUCAGCACGGCCCUUACAUCCGGGGCGACACACGUGUUACAAUGGCGUGGACAAAGGGAGGCCACCUGGCGACAGGGAGCGAAUCCCCAAACCACGUCUCAGUUCGGAUCGGAGUCUGCAACCCGACUCCGUGAAGCUGGAUUCGCUAGUAAUCGCGCAUCAGCCAUGGCGCGGUGAAUACGUUCCCGGGCCUUGUACACACCGCCCGUCAAGCCAUGGGAGCCGGGGGUACCUGAAGUCCGUAACCGCGAGGAUCGGCCUAGGGUAAAACUGGUGACUGGGGCUAAGUCA